CGUAGGGUGCGAGCGUUGUCCGGAAUUAUUGGGCGUAAAGGGCUCGUAGGCGGUUUGUCGCGUCGGGAGUGAAAUCCAUGGGCUUAACUUAUGGCUUGCUUUCGAUACGGGCAGACUAGAGGUAUGCAGGGGAGAACGGAAUUCCUGGUGUAGCGGUGAAAUGCGCAGAUAUCAGGAGGAACACCGGUGGCGAAGGCGGUUCUCUGGGCGUGAUCUGACGCUGAGGAGCGAAAGUGUGGGGAGCGAACAGGAUUAGAUACCCUGGUAGUCCACACCGUAAACGUUGGGCGCUAGGUGUGGGAUCCAUUCCACGGGUUCCGUGCCGCAGCUAACGCAUUAAGCGCCCCGCCUGGGGAGUACGGCCGCAAGGCUA
rnacentral:rRNA from 1 species